UACGAAGGGGGCUAGCGUUGUUCGGAAUUACUGGGCGUAAAGCGUACGUAGGCGGAUUGUUAAGUGAGGGGUGAAAUCCCGAGGCUCAACCUCGGAACUGCCUUUCAUACUGGCAAUCUUGAGUCCGGGAGAGGUGAGUGGAACUCCUAGUGUAGAGGUGAAAUUCGUAGAUAUUAGGAAGAACACCAGUGGCGAAGGCGGCUCACUGGCCCGGAACUGACGCUGAGACGCGAAAGCCAGGGGAGCGAACGGG
rnacentral:rRNA from 1 species